rnacentral:lncRNA from 1 species
UUGAGAGGAUGGUUGGCUUUCUCCUCUUAGAUUUUAGAGAGCCGAAGGAAAGCUUUACCUUCAACUUCUGAAGAUGUGUUAAAAGUCACUGACAAGAGUCAAAUUAAUAACAGAAAAGGCAUACAAAUUUAAUUGAUCAUAGUUUUACAUAACACAGGAGCCUUCAGAAUGAAGAUCCAAAGAUACAGAGGAAUUGUACAUUUUAAUGCUUAGGGUCGACAAAAUAUGGACAGCCAUGUACAAAUACGAUUGGGCAAAAAGAGAAUGAUCUACUGCCAAUAGAGUUGGGAAACCCAGCAAGGCCUGUCUGUCUAGACUCCUCUUGGCCUCACUGCGCAGCAUUCGUUCCUCCUUGGUGUGUGGCAGGACCCUCUAUGGAAAGAGGGUGUUAUGACCUACAAUUAAAAAAGGCUUGGAGCUAAAGCAGCUGUCAACCUGGAAGUACCAAUGGACACUGACAAAACAAUAAACAAAUCUCCAACAAAAGCCUGUUCUCUCUAGCCAAAAAUCCAAGACAGUCUUGAGAAGACUAGUAAGACAGAAAACUUUUAGACAAUAACAGCUCUAC